AAUUUUAUAGUUUUCCCUCUAUAGUUUCCACACAAUAACCAUUUCCCCACAAAAUGAAUUUCCAAUUCCCAGAAUCACGUUUCACAAAAAUCGGUUUCCCUCCCCCAAUCCUUCAUCAAUUUUGGUUAUCAUUCGCAUUCGCGCUCAAGGAGUCAAACUUUUGAGUCGUUGUGGCUGAGAAUCGUGAUAUCGGUUCAAUUGGCAUUAAUUAUGUAGGUGGUCAACAAUAAUAGGUGAUAUACGCAAGCAGAAUACUGAGUAGAUCAAGCGAAUAUACCUCAGAUGUGUUGUGUUUUAGACAUUGUCAUUGAUUGCAAUUCCCUGCUGUUAGAUCAAGAACCAACAAGAAUGUCUGCCCUUUCAAGGUAAUUUCAUUGUUACUUCUUUAUAAGCUGAUUUAUUUCCCCUUAACUCGAAUAAUCUAUGUCAAAUAGGUGCUUUGGGUCGAUGAUAUGUCUUAUGGUCUAUUACUAUUAUGUAGCGUAAGAUGAUUGGAGUUAAGGGCUUGAGUCAAUGGGGGGAUUUGGUUUCUUUGAUCAACUGUGGUGGAGAUUGUCUUAUGGUCUAUCAUUGUCAUGCAGUGUCAGCCAUUUCUUUUGUGAAAUGUCCUAUGGUCUGGUCUGCUUGUGAAAAAAAUGAUGAAUUCAUUAUUUAAUCAUUUGAUCUCAAUCUCAUCGUAUUUAUCCACAUUAAAUACAUAAUUUUAUUCCAUUAUAUCUUUUGGGUCAGCUAUGGCUUCCAAAGCCCCCAUUACACUAGUGACCUUAUCAAUGUUAGAUAAUAUAAAGUUUAUUAGAACAGAAAUUAUUAUAUGUUUACAUGUUUAAUUAUUUGCCCUGUUUCAUUAGUUAAGAGGUGUAUAUGUUGACCCAUUUAAAUACGAAUGAGUGGAUUUGAUAUAUAUUUUCUUCUAAAGGGUUAAAUGAGUAAGCUACAGGUUACAAGAGUCAAAUAAAUACUAAACAAUUCAUGGGCUAAAAGUUAUCCAGAAUGUGUUCAAAGCAUAAAAUCUGUUAAAACCACUUUAUUAAUAAAAAUGUUGAUUAUUAUUUUAAUAAUAUGGAUUCUGUAAUUAUAUGUACCACAUUACUUAUUUUAUAUAAUUAAAUAAAAAAGGCUAAAAAUAUUUUGCAGAUCAUUUGAAACAUGGAUUGCUUGAAGCUAAGUGUUUUUAUUGUAUGAUUCUUACCCGAGAAGAAUAUUUUGACUUUAUUUGUAAACAUUUGAAAUAUGUUUUGGAUUGAACUGAUAAUUGAAGUAAUUAUAUUAUAACUUCUACAUGUUCUCAUUUUUGGAUUGAACUGAUAAUUGAAGUAAUUAUAUAUAAAGGGGCUCAUUACCAUUUACCACACCCUUGGGGCUCAUCCCCCACACCCAAUGACGUGGCCGCCCAUAUGGCGGAUCAUCCCCAAAGGACUACCCUCCUCCACACCCACCAACCUUAUGUAUGAGAAACUGUUUGACAAAGUACUCAGGUCGUGAUUAAUAGAAGUAUAUGUUUAUAGAUUGCUAAAAACCAUGUUGAGUUAUAUGUCCUUUACUCAGUAAAUGACUCCACUUUUGGGAAACGUAUUGUGUGCUUUUUGUGUUUACAUAACCAAUUUCCCGCCUAAACCUGAAAACCCAUAAUACAUAUCUGAUAUCUCGUGGAUCCCGACCCGUAUUUAUUAACUCGAUUGCCUUCUCCACUUGGUUAUUGACUUGUUUCGGUUUGGCUGGAUUCAUCUUCUUUAUGUUCUUGUUUCAAUUGUUUUUUCAUGUUUCAAUGUUGGUGGGUGAUUUCUUGAAACAAAGAUAGGAUGGUUAUGAUAUUGGUGAAGGUUUAAAAGAUUUAUUAAAAGAAAUUGCUGCUUUGGAUUAUGGCUAAGAUGUCCAGUUUAGGCCCACCAGGCUUUCGAUGAAAUUCUAAAGAGAAAAAGAAACUAAUAAUGUUUCCUUUGGUGGUUUAAGAAUAGUAAUCAUAUUUGGGAAUAGAAAGCCUCAGCUUGCUCUGUUUUUUUUUGCAGAUCUAUUGGAUUAUCCACAUCAGAUUUUUCUGUCACCGCUGUAGCCACUCUGAGGGCUUUGGUUAUGUAUUCAAGCUUUUAUGCGCUAGAUCAAGACUACAAGAACUGUUUAGUUGGAUAGCCUUUGUGAUUUUAUUCAAACUGAAACAUCCUACAAUGUACCGUCUAAGGCAACAACUUCAUCUCUUUCUAUGAAGAACACUACUCUCAAACCAGAAUAGAAUAACGGAGAGUUGACAUCAUGUAAAGCAUGGGAGGAAUAGAUAUAACAAGAUUCAUGGAUCGCUUAGAGCUAUUUUUAUAUAGUAAAAUUCCUACCUGAAUACUUAUGUUGUAAACAUUUGGAAUAUGUUAUGUAUUGAACCUAUAGUUGAAGUUAUGAUAUUAUAAUUUCUACA